rnacentral:rRNA from 1 species
AUUGCACGCUGGCGGCAGGCCUAACACAUGCAAGUCGAACGAGUGGCGGACGGGUGAGUAAUGUCUGGGAAACUGCCUGAUGGAGGGGGAUACAUACUGGAAACGGUAGAUAAUCACGCAUACCAUCAGAUGUGCCCAGAUGGGAUUAGCUUGUUGGUGGGGUAACGGCUCACCAAGGCGACGAUCCCUAGCUGGUCUGAGAGGAUGACCAGCCACCCUGGAACUGAGACACGUUCAAUAUUCCAACGGUAGGCAGCAGUGGGGAAUAUUGCACUAUGGGCGCAAGCCUGAUGCAGCCAUGCCGCGUGUAUGAAGAAGGCCUUCGGGUUGUAAAUUACUUUCAGCGGGGAGGCUUUACCCGCAGAAGAAGCACCGGCUAACUCCGUGCCAGCAGCCGCGGUAAUUC